rnacentral:rRNA from 1 species
CCUACGGGUGGCAGCAGUGGGGAAUAUUGCACAAUGGGCGAAAGCCUGAUGCAGCAACGCCGCGUGAGCGAUGACGGCCUUCGGGUCGUAAAGCUCUGUCCUCCAGGAAGCUAAUGACGGUACUUGAGGAUGAAGCCCCGGCUAACUACGUGCCAGCCGCCGCGGUAAUACGUAGGGGGCUAGCGUUAUCCGGAAUUACUGGGCGUAAAGGGUGCGUAGGUGGUUUUUUAAGUCAGAGGUGAAAGGCUAGGGCUCAACCGUAGUAAGCCGUUGAAACUGGGGAACUUGAGUGCGGGAGAGGAGAGUGGAAUGCGUAGUGUAGCGGUGAAAUGCGUAGAUAUUAGGAGGAACACCAGUUGCGAAGGCGGCUCUCUGGAGUGUAACUGACACUGAGGCACGAAAGCGUGGGGAGCAAACAGGAUUAGAUACCCGGGUAGUC